rnacentral:rRNA from 1 species
UACGGAGGGGGCUAGCGUUGUUCGGAAUUACUGGGCGUAAAGCGCACGUAGGCGGCUUUGCAAGUUAGAGGUGAAAGCCCGGAGCUUAACUCCGGAAUUGCCUUUAAAACUGCAUCGCUAGAAUUGUGGAGAGGUGAGUGGAAUUCCGAGUGUAGAGGUGAAAUUCGUAGAUAUUCGGAAGAACACCAGUGGCGAAGGCGGCCAACUGGACAGAUACUGACGCUGAGACACGAAAGCGUGGGGAGCAAACAGG